rnacentral:rRNA from 1 species
AAAUAGAUACCCCGGUAGUCCACGCCGUAAACGAUGAGUGCUAAGUGUUAGGGGGUUUCCGCCCCUUAGUGCUGCAGCUAACGCAUUAAGCACUCCGCCGUGGGGAGUACGGUCGCAAGACUGAAACUCAAAGGAAUUGACGGGGGCCCGCACAAGCGGUGGAGCAUGUGGUUUAAUUCGAAGCAACGCGAAGAACCUUACCAGGUCUUGACAUCCCAUUGACCACUAUGGAGACAUAGUUUUCCCUUCGGGGACAACGGUGACAGGUGGUGCAUGGUUGUCGUCAGCUCGUGUCGUGAGAUGUUGGGUUAAGUCCCGCAACGAGCGCAACCCUUGUUCUUAGUUGCCAUCAUUUAGUUGGGCACUCUAAGGAGACUGCCGGUGACAAACCGGAGGAAGGUGGGGAUGACGUCAAAUCAUCAUGCCCCUUAUGACCUGGGCUACACACGCGCUACAAUGGACGGUACAAACGGUUGCCAACCCGCGAGGGGGAGCUAAUCCGAUAAAACCGUUCUCAGUUCGGAUUGUAGGCUGCAACUCGCCUACAUGAAGGACC